ensembl:lncRNA
ACACCCGCUAUAAAAAAGGUCCGCACCCUCUGCUAGUUCUCAAUCCUCGGCUGCCCAUCAGGUAACAACCACCUCAAAUCCUCGAGCUACUUGUCCUCGCAAUGUUCCUAGAUUACUUAAUAGUUUGAGCUGUGACGCUUCUUUAAGACAAGCUGCUUCUCUGUCCAUUAUUGUGGUCAAGUUUUCCUUUUUAACGGAAAUCUUAAAACUCAGGCCUCGCCCACGUGACUCUAGUUAUCAAACUAACAUUAACAUUCGCAAAUCCUCCGUCUCUUUAAACGAGAAUAACCUUGCCGGAGCUUUUCCCCCGUGACUGAAUGAUGAGAAAACAUGUUGGUAGGGACAUCUGAUUUACUGUGACGAAUACCAACUUUCUUCUCCUGACUUCACGGGACAAGGCCCGAAGCCGGUUGGGCUCCACGUUAGCUGCGCUGCUAGCGAGCGUUUAGCUGCUGCGUGGCCCGACCGAUGCAGAUGUGUUUUCCUCAGUUCGGCUUCAUUCAUCUUUAACUAAUAACGUGCCUUUUUUUUCAGGUUGAAAAAGAUGUGCCUCGACGUUAGUGGGGAACCACGCUGCAUACCGAGCGGGUUGAAAAAGAUGUGCCCCAACUUUAGUGGUGAACCACGUAUCAUACAAAGCUGGUGUCUCGGAAGUUGAGAGUCGUGCAGGAAGCAACAGUGGGAGCAAUUGCAAAAAAGGUGUGCCUACAUUUUGUUCACGGAUCAGUGAUGGGUCCUUAUAGCAGGUAAGGAACUUUCUUUACUUUCUUUUUUUUAAACAAACUGUAAAUGAUGAUACUUGGGAAUCUCUCUGAAAAAAGUGAAAGACUAACUUUUUUUACUGAUACAGAACAGACUAAAAUGCUUACAUAAGAGAAUAUGGGAGUGUUUACUCAUCCUUAGUUUUAACUUGCAGGUGCCCCCCCCCUCGACUUGCCUUGGGAUGCCUUUCCUCGGUUCACGAAAUGUCUGAUGGGAACACAUUGCCGUCCUCCAAAUUGAGUAACUUCAAUGCCAGGAGCUCACCACUGCUAUCAGAAUUGAGCUGAUGUGUCAGAGUUGUCAUUUAGUCCUGUGUGAUAAAUACAAGAGAUGCUCACAAGUCUUCUCCUCCAGCCAGAAAUGUGAAACCCUCCCGCCAGAAGAUCUUUCAAGACUUUGGUGAUGUCGCUUGUUGGCUCUUCCAGAGGACAACAUACCAGCAGAGUGUGACUGCUGACUUUAAAGGCCUUUGACAAGAUCAGUUUAGGAAAGGGCUUUUCCUCAUCAUAGUACCAAAAAAUGGGCUGCCUCAUCAUCCAUGAAUGACUCCCUCAACGCCUUGAUGCUGGCCAGUGGCAACCAGUUGAUAUAAACUUUUGUUACGACAUUGUGGAAAUAAAAAUUCUAAAACAAUUCUACCUCUUGUGUAUUGGUACUUUAAUCUCAACUAUUGAUGGGUAAAUAAACUCAAAUGAU